rnacentral:rRNA from 1 species
GGGGGGGCAAGCGUUGUUCGGAAUUACUGGGCGUAAAGGGCUCGUAGGCGGCCAACUAAGUCAGACGUGAAAUCCCCAGGCUCAACCUGGGAACUGCGUCUGAUACUGGUUGGCUUGAAUUCGGGAGAGGGAUGCAGAAUUCCAGGUGUAGCGGUGAAAUGCGUAGAUAUCUGGAGGAAUACCGGUGGCGAAGGCGGCAUCCUGGACCGACAUUGACGCUGAGGAGCGAAAGCUAGGGGAGCAAACGGGAUUAGAUACCCCGGUAGUCCUAGCCCUAAACGAUGAAUGCUUGGUGUGACGGGUAUCGAUCCCUGUCGUGCCGAAGCUAACGCAUUAAGCAUUCCGCCUGGGGAGUACGGUCGCGAGGCUG